rnacentral:rRNA from 1 species
GAUGAACGCUGGCGGCGUGCUUAACACAUGCAAGUCGAACGAAGCACUUAAGAUUGAUUCUUCGGAUGACGUCUUUUGUGACUUAGUGGCGGACGGGUGAGUAACGCGUGGGUAACCUGCCUCACACAGGGGGAUAACAGUUAGAAAUGACUGCUAAUACCGCAUAACCCGAUAGGAUCGCAUGAUCCAGACGGAAAAGAUUUAUCGGUGUGAGAUGGACCCGCGUCUGAUUAGCUAGUUGGGGAGGUAACGGCCCACCAAGGCGACGAGCAGUAGCCGGCCUGAGAGGGUGAACGGCCACAUUGGGACUGAGCCACGGCCCAAACUCCUACGGGAAGCAGCAGUGGGGAAUAUUGCACAAUGGGGGAAACCCUGAUGCAGCGACGCCGCGUGAGUGAAGAAGUAUUUCGGUAUGUAAAGCUCUAUCAGCAGGGAAGAAAAUGACGGUACCUGACUAAGAAGCCCCGGCUAACUACGUG